UGUGGUAGGUGCCUCUAGGGCCUGG
rnacentral:piRNA from 1 species